GAUGAACGCUGGCGGCGUGCCUAACACAUGCAAGUCGAGCGAGAUUAAUGUGAGUGGAGACUUCGGUCAAAGCGAUCAUUAUGAAAGCGGCGGACGGGUGAGUAACGCGUGAGCAAUCUGCCCCAUACAAAGGGAUACCCACUGGAAACGGUGAUUAAUACCUUAUAAGACCACGAAGUCGCAUGGCUUUGGGGCCAAAGAUUUAUCGGUAUGGGAUGAGCUCGCGACCGAUUAGCUAGUUGGUAAGGUAAUGGCUUACCAAGGCGACGGUCAGUAGCCGACCUGAGAGGGUGAACGGCCACACUGGAACUGAGACACGGUCCAGACUCCUACGGGAGGCAGCAGUGGGGAAUAUUGCACAAUGGGCGCAAGCCUGAUGCAGCAACGCCGCGUGAAUGAUGAAGGCCUUCGGGUCGUAAAGUUCUGUCCAAAGGGAAGAAUAAAAUGACGGUACCUUUGGAGGAAGCCCCGGCUAACUACGUGCCAGCCGCCGCAGUAACAC
rnacentral:rRNA from 1 species